rnacentral:rRNA from 1 species
UACGUAGGGUGCGAGCGUUUGUCCGGAAUUAUUGGGCGUAAAGAGCUCGUAGGCGGUCUGUCGCGUCGGUCGUGAAAACUUGGGGCUUAACCCUGAGCUUGCGGUCGAUACGGGCAUGACUGGAGUUCGGUAGGGGAGACUGGAAUUCCUGGUGUAGCGGUGAAAUGCGCAGAUAUCAGGAGGAACACCGGUGGCGAAGGCGGCUCUCUGGGACGGUACUGACGCUGAGACGCGAAAGCGUGGGGAGCGAACAGG